GAUGAACGCUGGCGGCGUGCCUAAUACAUGCAAGUCGAGCGAACAGACGAGGAGCUUGCUCCUCUGACGUUAGCGGCGGACGGGUGAGUAACACGUGGAUAACCUACCUAUAAGACUGGGAUAACUUCGGGAAACCGGAGCUAAUACCGGAUAAUAUAUUGAACCGCAUGGUUCAAUAGUGAAAGACGGUUUUGCUGUCACUUAUAGAUGGAUCCGCGCCGCAUUAGCUAGUUGGUAAGGUAACGGCUUACCAAGGCAACGAUGCGUAGCCGACCUGAGAGGGUGAUCGGCCACACUGGAACUGAGACACGGUCCAGACUCCUACGGGAGGCAGCAGUAGGGAAUCGUCCGCAAUGGGCGAAAGCUUGACGGAGCAACGCCGCGUGAGUGAUGAAGGUCUUCGGAUCGUAAAACUCUGUUAUUAGGGAAGAACAAAUGUGUAAGUAACUAUGCACGUCCUGACGGUACCUAAUCAGAAAGCCACGGCUAACUACGUG
rnacentral:rRNA from 1 species